GUUGAAAACUCACUUGCUCCGCUCACUAAGCAGAUGGCCACGUGAUUGUCCCACCCACUUCCUUAGAUCUCCGCAUUUUGGGAACGGAAUCCGUUUGUGCUCUUGUAUCCCUCCUACUCAACAGCGAGCUGCAGAGGCAUUGCCAGACUUACCCGCCCGCCGCAGCUUUGCCAGCGACAACACAUUGGAAGAUCGGCAGCUACUUAGGGACUCCUGAAAUUUGCUGCCUAUCACCUUUACAUAAUGCAUGACAAAGUGAAGGACAACACUGCAACAGGGGCAGGGAGCACCUGUGAU
rnacentral:lncRNA from 12 species